rnacentral:rRNA from 1 species
GACGAACGCUGGCGGCGUGCUGAACACAUGCAAGUCGAACGGAAAGGCCCUGCUUUUGUGGGGUGCUCGAGUGGCGAACGGGUGAGUAACACGUGAGUAACCUGCCCUUGACUUUGGGAUAACUUCAGGAAACUGGGGCUAAUACCGGAUAGGAGCUCCUGCUGCAUGGUGGGGGUUGGAAAGUUUCGGCGGUUGGGGAUGGACUCGCGGCUUAUCAGCUUGUUGGUGGGGUAGUGGCUUACCAAGGCUUUGACGGGUAGCCGGCCUGAGAGGGUGACCGGCCACAUUGGGACUGAGAUACGGCCCAGACUCCUACGGGAGGCAGCAGGGGGGAAUAUUGCACAAUGGGCGGAAGCCUGAUGCAGCAACGCCGCGUGCGGGAUGACGGCCUUCGGGUUGUAAACCGCUUUCGCCUGUGACGAAGCGUGAGUGACGGUAAUGGGUAAAGAAGCACCGGCUAACUACGUG